rnacentral:RNase_P_RNA from 1 species
AGUGCAUACUGUCUUAUCGCUGUCUCAGAUCAAGAGAUAGAGGAAAGUCCGGGCAACACAGGGCGCCGUACUUCCUAACGGGAAGGGUUUGCCGACAAAGCGAAUACAGACAGGGCCACAGAAAAUAACCGCCAUGCUUCGGUGUGGUAAGGAUGAAAAAGUGAGGUAAGAGCUCACUCGUGUCGGUGAGAGCCGGCAUUGGGGUAACCCUUACGGGUUGAAAGGCCAAAUAGGUUCAGCUCCCUUCAAUGGGAUAAGGCGGCUCGCUAAAUAUACCAAGCUGAAUGGGUAGGUCGUUAAAGAGUAACGGCAACGUUGCUCGCAGAUAAAUGAUAAGACUCGACAGAACCCGGCUUAUAGGUAUGCACUGUAU